rnacentral:rRNA from 1 species
GACGAACGCUGGCGGCGUGCCUAACACAUGCAAGUCGAACGAAGUGGCGAACGGGUGAGUAAUACGUGGGUAACCUGCCCUCCUUUUGGGGAUAAGCCUUGGAAACGGGGUCUAAUACCGCAUAAAGGGGGAUGGGCUAGUGGCUAGUCAGCUUGUUGGUGGGGUGAUGGCCUACCAAGGCGGUGACGGGUAGCCGGCCUGAGAGGGUGAACGGGCACAUUGGGACGGAGCAGCGGCCUAGGGGACGCAGGGGGGGAGAAGUGUGGGAUAUGGCACAAUGGGCGAAAGACUGAUGCAGCGUGGCCGCGGAGGGGAUGAGGGCUGUCAGGUUGUAAACCUCUUUCGCAAUCGAACGGGUAGGUGGAGAAGAAGCGCCGGCUAACUACGUGCCAGCAGCCGCGGUAAUAC